rnacentral:misc_RNA from 1 species
AAAAGAUAAAAUGAAUUUUUUAUUUAACAAUGAAAAUAUUAUUUUUAGGAAACAUUUGAUAUAGAUUAACCGAAAUAAUUGUAACAGUGUGAACAGCUUUUCCGAAUACUUGAAAUGAUAUAAAUAGUUUGUAAGUGAGUCAAGUGGCAUGCAAGUGUCUUCCGCAGUCUGAAGAAAGGGAAAUGACAAACAUCCGACGAAUUGGCACCGCUGUUUUAAUUCAACACCGACUCAAAUUCAAGCUCUCUCCAAAUAUUUGGAUAAAAUGUCUAAGCAAAGCAAAAAUAAUUUUACCCCAAAGUUAUUUAAAUACUCUGGAUUGAAUUAAAAUAUUUCUGCUCCUUAUAUUAUAAUAUCUAUAAUUAAUAAGAGAAUCAAUCUAUUAUAUUAAAAAAUAAUUUAAUAAAUAUUCCUUAAGAAUUAACGUUAAUUAAAUUGUAAG